UCAGAUGAACGCUGGCGGCGUGCCUAACACAUGCAAGUCGAACGCGAAAGGGACUCGGUCCUGAGUAAAGUGGCGCACGGGUGAGUAACGCGUGGAUAAUCUGCCCUUAUGAUCGGGAUAACAGUUGGAAACGGCUGCUAAUACCGGAUACGCUCAAAAUGAACUUUUUGAGGAAAGAUGGCCUCUGCUUGCAUGCUAUCACGUAAGGAUGAGUCCGCGUCCCAUUAGCUUGUUGGCGGGGUAACGGCCCACCAAGGCAACGAUGGGUAGCCGAUUUGAGAGGAUGAUCGGCCACACUGGAACUGAAACACGGUCCAGACUCCUACGGGAGGCAGCAGUGGGGAAUAUUGCGCAAUGGGCGAAAGCCUGACGCAGCGACGCCGCGUGAGGGGAAUGAAGGUUUUCGGAUCGUAAACCUCUGUCAGAAGGGAAGAAACUACGUUGUGCUAAUCAGCAGCGUACUGACGGUACCUUCAAAGGAAGCACCGGCUAACUCCGUGCCAGCCGCCGC
rnacentral:rRNA from 1 species